rnacentral:snoRNA from 1 species
UUUAUGAUGACCAGCUCCAUCUUGAAAAGACAUGAUGCUUGUUGAUACACCUUCACUGCCUGAUC